ACCGUAUGUCAUUGACCUUGUGAAAAGUGUGAUUUCAAUUUAUCUUCUCCUGUGCGUCGUGUGCCCCCACUGGAUGUUACUUGACUAUUGUAGUGCAACGCGAAAGCUUAGAAGUAUUUUAAAUGGACAGAGGCUAGCCUGUUUCCGAUAUGAUGAAAAUCAGUAAUGAAACUAGACUGUUUGGGACUGCCAAAAGAGUAUGCCUCUAGGCUAGGGAAGUUGAUUGCCAGUAUACCGGCUUUCAUUUGGAACUUAGGAGAGCAAGCUUUCUGAUUUGAAAAAAAGAAAAAAAAAAUACAACAGAAGCAGUCAUCAUUUGCCUUGAUGCAGAGUUGCCGGAAUGGAGAAUGAUCAUGUCGAUGAGGAAAGCUGCAAGAUGUUAGUCGUGGGCGGGUGUGGCAAUGGCGCCUCGUCUCAUGAGCUGGUCAGCAUUUCUAUACUGCGGGAAAGUACCCUUGAGUACUUUCUCCCUAUUAUAAUAGAUACAAUGAGAAAAGUACAGACGUUGUUUACAGCAAUGUCGACAAAGUAUUCUAAUUUGAAAAAUGAAAGGAACCUUCACAGUUGACAAUGGUAGUCCAACACCCGUGACCCAGCCACGGUAAUGAUCAACGGGAAUCGGAAGCCAUAUUGGUUGGAGAUCUAUCACGUCUGCCGCGAUGUCACUUGAUAAAGACUGUUUGAACACAUAAGUUAUCUGAAUAAAACAGAAGCACAGAAGUCAGUCCUAAGUAACAUGAAGGGAAAAAUCGAAGGGAGGAGACAUCACAGCAAAAGCAAGUGACCGGAAGGACUGGCAGAUCGAAACUCAAAAGAUUCGUGUACCCACAUCUCCUGGCAGCAUCCUCUCACAUGCAUAUGCAGUCUUCCUCACCAAAUUGAUACGCAAGGGCCCGGAAAAUCGGUACUCAAGGCUUCACAAAAAUGCUGUGUUCGCAUGAAGAGCUUCAGAUUAGUAGUCUGUUAUCAUAACCUGGCUUCAGUGGUCAUCGACCCGGCUCAAAUGUAGUUUUUCAUCCCAUCAGGCACCAAGUUGCCAAGCCUCCUUCCAUCGACUGGAAUUAGCACGUGCGACUUCAUCUGAGUCAAGAGAGGGGCAAUUAUCAUUAUAAUGAAGCCUACUUUGGAGUAAAGUGACGUGAAGGAAGGAGUACGAGAAGAGGACAGACCCCUCCCGCGACCUUGGAGAAGCCGCAGAAAACCUUGUCUUGAGGAAGACUUGAAUUAAGUCGCCAGGUCACCCACUAUGUCCAGUCUAACAAUACGCUGAACUAGCAGUGAACUAUUAACCUUGUGAUUAGGCGGCGGUGAUGGGUCGCAUGUAAAUAGGCUGGAAAGGUCAUGAAGUUAGUAACCUUAUCCCAGAAGACGUGUUAAGAACCCGCCAAGGAGAGAAGCUUCUUAUGAAGAGGAGGAAGAUUUCAUUCAAAAGAUGAUACACUAGCUUGGAUUGACGAAAACCGUAAGGGCAAAGAACAGUAUCGACCUUUUCCAUUCAUGGAUGGGCAACAAAAUUUUCGAUACAGUGAAGUCAUAGGCAUCAAUGGACCCUGCUUGGUAGCUCUGUAUUGAUGUGAUCGUGGAAGGUGGUUGUGACGCAGAAUACUAAAGCGGCGGCAGUAACUUAUUCACAGAACGGAGGUCGUUCAGAGAAAUGAUUUUCAACACUCAGGGGUCUAUGGCUUUUCUUGGUAUCGCCGCAACCAUGCAGGAAAUACGUAUUGUACUCCGUGGGGUUCAUCGAACUUUUCAAAGUCGUCUGUAAUUACGGAAUGUUUCUUUAUGUGUAUGUGUGUAUGAUUUUAAAACCACUUGCUCCAGAAUGCAUGCAUUUAUUUGAAGAUACGAUUUGCUUCAGGAAUCUGCGUAUUUAUUUGUAGGAAACAGUCGUUCGAGAUACGGGUUUGUGCUCAUAUCUCAAUAAAUGUGAUGAACAUCGCAGACGCCAAAGUAAUUGAACAAAGGUAUUUCAAUCUUGUGGUCUCUGCCAGAAAAAACGUACAAAUAUUUCAUGGAUCUAUACAUGUUUCUUAAAGAAACAAGGUUCAUUGGAAAUGAGUGUACGUUAUUAAGGAGACUAUAAAAAAAAACAAGAACACGUUGGGAUGCCUAAACAUUUAAAGAAACACAUUGUUUCAUAUAUGUUAUGGAAAGCGCUGAUGUGUUAUUAUUAUAGACUUGAAACACGGUAUACCGUUAGGCAAAGAACGGUAUUAAAUGCAGUGCUACUCCGGAAACCUGUGCAUUUAGGUCUGAUAUAAUUAUAACCACAGAGAUUCAGAAUGCUGCGUUUAAGUUUUUCCGAGAUGCUUUUCAUAGUUUCCCUUUAGUCUUUUCCUGCCGUGCACCUCUUGCCUUCACAAAAUCCGAAGUAAUAAAUAAUGACGCCGAAAAUAAACUGGGGGGAAAAACUACACGUUGGUAUUCAGUCUUGAGCUACAAAUUGUAAACCCGGACAGAUAAUGAACAGCAUUAUUUUCUUGUGAAGGCGAUAAUAUUUUGAUCAAGAGUGAUUUUAUUUGAAGGAAGAGAUUAUAUAGUUGGAGUUCUGUAGCAAAUCGCCCAGUGAUUAAUCAAAAUUACUCGGCUAUUAUGCUAAACGUAGAAAAGCAAAUGGAUAUUUUUUUCUAUGUACACUGUAUUAGAACACAGAGAAGUAAACGGUGUAUACAUUUAAAUCUUUAUGCCAAUGCAGAGUAACAACGAUUUCUAGCAACGGUUCUGUGUUCAUACAGUGUACAGGUUACGAAUCUGUUAUUUGAACAGAAUAAGGUGGUGUGUAAAUUUAAAGCUUCUUGGGAGAUUAAGUUCAUUACUAUAGCGAUUACAAGCAAUCACAUUUGCUAUGUUCAUGGCAAAGAUUUGCUGUAAAAAAUAUAAAUAAUAAAUUAAGCUACGAAAGAAUCUAAAUAGCGAUUACUUGCAAUUACUCAACUGGUUAUUUACCCAAAGAAAUUGUGUAAGUUACUGUUAACAACCUCCUGGCAGAACUCGUCGCAGCUGGUUCUUCCAAUCGAAAUGAGUUGCGCAAGUUAUUUGGCCUUGAAAGCUCCUAUGAGUGUAGUUACUCGUUUUUUGCAACAUCCUUCCGAGUUAGUAAUCACUAACGCAUUGAUUGCGAUCUUCAGGCAAACCUGACUAUUAUCAUAUUUCUAUCUGUGUCACAUCCUCCUGUUAAGUUACAUUGCCGCUAUGUUCUGCCGGUCGGCCUGUUUUGCAGGAGUUGGCAAAUGCCAGUCGCUUGCUUCUUGGGGAAUUUCAAAUACUUGCGAUUUCCGUUAAAAAAAAAAAAAAAGUUUCUCGUUGGCUUAGUGAUCCAUGGUUCUGUUUUAAUAAGCAUGUGAUUGUUUUGUUUUUUUCUCUCUCUCUCUUGGAGGAUCUUUGUUGGUGUUAGCCUUUAACAUUACUGUUCACUAGCGGUCAUAAUUUGAAUGACAUCUUUGAAAGAAUACAUUCCUCCUUACUAAAAGGCCUAUUUUCAAGAGAAUUUGCUUACCGUGGGUAUUAAUGAUUGUCGAAUUUUUUUUAUUGUUUUCGUUAUUUGAAAACUAAUAUAUAAGUUAUUUUAUAGAGAUUUUUUUUUUCUGUACAAGGAGAUACUCAAAUUUCACCUCCGAAUUUCGAUUAGCCUGAAUGAAUCCCUCUGAAAGGAAAUGUUGCUUUAUAUGGCCGGUCCUUGGAGGGCCACAUUCGCCACAUUCCGAAUCAAAACAAACCUUUAUAUCCAGCCAGGUGUUCGUACUUUCGUACGGAACGACUGUCGUUUUUAUAGCUGUUCCCAUAUUUGUUAAGUAGCAGGUUAGCCAAAUGGAGUCCUUCGCUCUUUUGUUAGGCAGACUAACCAAAUGUGUCAAAGUUCCUAUUCCUUUGUCUCCGUUUCAUAAAUAUACAUGUGGUGAAAUAUGCUUAUCUGUUCAGUGCUGUAUAAGUACUGUAGCCCAGAAGGUUAUCAGAGUCGAAGACAGUUUCCUUCAGUGGCUACUGUAGCCUCCUUAACAUAAAAGUGCAAAUAUUCCUGUUCCUCACUUCACGGACGCAGAUGAGGCAGUUGUUAGAGUUUUCCCUCAGUUUUCAGUGUCGCAGACUUCUUUGAGGCACUGUUCUCUGAAUUUUCAAUAUCACUAAAUUUUAAUUCCUCGUAUCGUUAGUAUCAACAUUUGCAUUUUUAUUCUGGUCUUG